GUACAGACUUUUCUGGAACUUUCAAAAUAAAUUGCAUUAACCUACUUCUGGCACAGCCAGGGAAAGGGGUACUUCCCAUGAUUGUCAGAGUCUGGUUGCCUCUGUGCCUGCUGCUUCCUUUUUCCACCUCUAGGGGCUGUGGAGCUGGAGGACCGAAGGUGUGACAGGUGUUCUUCAUUGACUCAUCAGUUCAGAGGACUAUAUGAGGGCGGCUCACCUGCACUUCUGUGCCUGAGUGUUUUUGCCCUUCGUGGUAGUACUCCCUGGCCAUAUUACCUUGUAUCUUGUGAUUGUUUUAUGAGGAUUUUUACUAACAGUCUGUUUACCUUGUCUUAGGCACCUCAGCUCUGCUCCUUGUUUGGUAUCUCAAGAAAACCUCUGUUCACAGUCUGGACUCUGGAUUCAUUCCAUGCAGCGGACCGCCUUGGAUACCUCUCUGUCUGGUUAAGCGAACCCUGUCCACGCUCCUACGGUUCUUCCUGGAUCAUCAAGAAGCCCCAACGGAAUCAGAACUACCUCACUGUCCCAGAUUAGCAACAAUCUCCCUCCUGGCGGAUCGUUCCACCCGAAUAUCAGACGGCCUUCCUGGAAACUUCACUCCUUGUACAUUUCACAAAUUGUUAAUAAAUUCUUUAAACAUU